rnacentral:lncRNA from 1 species
UAUUCUCUGUCCCUCCCUUCUGCCCCCCUUCCUGAAUUAAGCAUGACCAGGGGACUUGUUCUGCCUAGUGAAACAUGAAUGGAAGUAACAGGUGUCACUUCACAGUGGUGGGAGGGAGGCCCUUCUGCAUCACUCCUUCAUCUCUCUCUUCCCCUCUGGUCAUGAGCAUAUAGCCCAAGAACUGAAGCAGUCAGCCUCAGUGGGUCUCAGCAUAGAGGGUAGCCAUCUACAGUAGAGUCUGCAUUAUUAAGAAAUAAUUUUUUAUUUCUUAGGUCACUAUUCUCUUGGUGGUACUGCUAAAGCAUAAACCCAGACUACCCAGACACUUCCCCAUCUACUUCCACUAUUAUCCCUUUUCACUUCUUCCUUGUAAAUAUGCUCAAGUAUCUCCUAGCCAAGAAAAAACCUUUCCCCGAUCCUACUAUUUCUUUUAAGAUUUUAUUUAUUUAUUUAUUUAUUUAUUUAUUUAUUUAUUUAAUUUAUUUAUUCAUGAGAGACAAAAGGAGAGACAGAGGCAGAGACACAGGCAAAGGGAGAAGCAGACCCCAUGCAGGGAGCCUGACGUGGGACUCGAUUCCGGGUCUCCAGGAUCACGCCCUGGGCUGAAGGCAGCACUAAACUGCUGAGCCACUCGGGCUGCCCGAUCCUACUAUUUCUUAAAUUAUCAUAUAUCUUCCUCUCAUUCACUGAUACAUUUCUCGAAGUAAAAAUCUAUAUUUGCUACUUCCAUUUCCUCACCACCCACUCACUCCUUAAUUCCUGGGGAUCUGACUUCUGUUUUCUUCAUUCUUCAGAAACUAUUUUCUUUAAGGUUAUAAUAAUCUCCUACUUUCCAAAUCACAUUCAACUCUGCUCAACCUCUCUUCUACCAAUGCCCCAAACUCUAGUCAAAUGGUUUUAAGUCUCUUUAUACUCAGAGACUCCUUUGAAAGUCAGAUGUUAUGAAUCUUAUUCUCAGAAAAAUCACAUAUACAUAUAUACAAAAUUUCCAUAAAUUUCAGAGAUUUUGACCUCAACACUCUCCCAAAGCCCAUUCAUAAUUAACCUAAACAUCUCUGUACCUUGGGUAAAGAAUUCUGCUCUGGUCUGUAAAACUAAGAAACAGAAAGUGAAGAAAGUCAUCCAUUCCCACAAAACAGUCAGAUGGAGUAUUUUUUCACUUCCGAAUGUAUUUUCCUAUACCACCCUACCCUAAAGUUUGGUCUCUCCUCUAUUUUUUGCAUUUCUGUAGUGGCUUCAUACAUUGCCUAUUCUCAUGCAUCUCUCUCUUCGUUCAGUCAUGGAGUACUUGUGGAGUAAAACACAAUGUUAUGUUCCUCUUAUCCCAAAGGAUAUGACAAGAUAGUUGGGAAAGAGACAUGUUCACAUUAAAACUUGAGUAAUAAAGGGCUCCUGGCUGGCUCAGUCAGUAGAGCAUGUGACUGACUCUUAAUGGCAGGGUCAGGAGGUCAAACACCACAUUGGGAGUGGAGCCUACAUAAAAUAAAAUAAGAUUAAAUUUGAGUAAUAAAAUAAGGAAGAACAUGAGUAAGUGGGAGACAUACGGAACUAUUUCUGAGGAAGGUUCAGAUACUGAUUUCUGUUAGAAAGGGAAGGCAAACUGGAUCUUGAAAGAUGGGCCUGGCUUUUCUGUAAGUAGAGAAGGAAGAAUGUGUGUCGAAAGGAAUAGAAGCUAUUAUGUAAGCAACAAGAAACAUGUAAAUAUAAACGGAAUGUUGGAGAGAUCACAAGGAGACCCCACAUGGACUGACCAGCAAAAACACAAAGUUAGAGAAAAAAUAGAAUGCUUAGUUGGGGCUAGUCCUGCCUUAGCCCUGAGCACCAGGUUAAAGAGUCUGGCUUUAUUUAGUGAAUAACAGGGAGACACUGAAUAUUUUUGAGCCAAGGACUGAUAGAAUAAAAAUGGUCUUUUCAGAGAUUAAUCUCAAAGAGUAUCUCAUGAAGAGAUGAGGGAUUGGCCAAAAGGAGAAAAGUCAGGAAACUGUGCAAUAAUCCAUGAUUUGAACUUGUGAACAACUGAACUAUUUGCAAACCAAUCUUAACAAAAGGGGCACAACUGAUGUAGGAGGCAUGAAUAUGUAUUGCUUGGAUCUCCCCUCAUCUGUCAGAAUGCAGUCAGCUAAGGACCUCCAGCUACAGCACCUCUAGGACGUACUAUAGCAGUACUCUAGCUGAAGUCAUCACCUUCCUAUGCAGCCCCCACCAAUGACUGAUAAUCACAGCACUACCAGGGCCCAGCCAUGCCCAUGGAAGGCAGGCCUUCUCUACAGAUGAUCUUGGCUCUGGAGCUCCCCAUAGGUUGGCUGUAC